UACGAAGGGGGCUAGCGUUGUUCGGAGUUACUGGGCGUAAAGGGUGUGUAGGCGGUUGUUUAAGUUUGGGGUGAAAUCUCCCGGCUCAACUGGGAGGGUGCGCCGAAUACUGAAUGACUUCGAGUGCGGGAGAGGAAAGUGGAAUUCCUGGUGUAGCGGUGAAAUGCGUAGAUAUCAGGAGGAACACCGGUGGUGUAGACGGCUUUCUGGACCGUAACUGACGCUGAGGAGCGAAAGCGUGGGGAGCAAACAGG
rnacentral:rRNA from 1 species